GGCCGAGACGUACACGCUGAUAACUGGUGCGUCAGUCCUGGUGAGAGUGAAAGUAUAGAGCCCUGUUCCCGUCAGGGCAUGCUGGGAGUUAUAGUUGUGUAACAACUGGGGGCACAGCCACAGAUUGAGAAACAGCUAAUCUAGAGGAAUGCAUGAGCAUGAUCCUUCUCCGAUGCAUGUCAAUCGACUCAGCUAUGUGGUUUCUUCUCUCCACUGUGACCCCAGCAUAAGCACACCAGGAGUGGGGUUUUGCCUCAGGUUCAUGUAGCCCUUUACCCCAACUAGAGAUAGGGGCCAUCAAAUGCCCAGCCAAGAUGGGGAGAAUUCCUUGAACCAGC